GUGUAUAGCCAUGCAUCCUCAAGCAAGCAGCCACUUUUGUCUGUUCUUGAAAGCAGAGCAGAAUCAGGUCUAGUUAGUACUUGGAUAGAAGGCUGUCUGGAAAUACCAGAUGCUGUAGACC
rnacentral:rRNA from 1 species